rnacentral:rRNA from 1 species
UGAGGAAUAUUGCUCAAUGGGCGAAAGUCUGAAGCAGCAACGCCGCGUGAGGGAUGAAGGUGCUCUGCAUUGUAAACCUCUGUAGUCGGGGAAAAACAAUGGGUUACUACCCAUUUGAUGGUACCCGAAAAGUAAGGAUCGGCUAACUACGUGCCAGCAGCCGCGGUAAUACGUAGGAUCCAAGCGUUGUCCGGAUUUACUGGGUGUAAAGGGUGCGCAGGCGGACUUGUUAGUCAGAGGUGAAAUCUCACGGCUCAACCGUGAAACUGCCUUUGAUACUGCAGGUCUUGAAUUGGGGAGAGAGUUGUGGAAUUCCGAGUGUAGCAGUGAAAUGUGUAGAUAUUCGGAAGAACACCAGUGGCGAAGGCAGCAACUUGGCCCUAUAUUGACGCUCAGGCACGAAAAGCAUGGGGAUCAAAACA